rnacentral:rRNA from 1 species
UACGUAGGGUGCAAGCGUUUGUCCGGAAUUACUGGGCGUAAAGCGUGCGCAGGCGGUUUUGUAAGCCAGAUGUGAAAUCCCCGGGCUUAACCUGGGAAUGGCAUUUGGGACUGCAAGGCUGGAGUUUGGCAGAGGAGACUGGAAUUCCUGGUGUAGCAGUGAAAUGCGUAGAUAUCAGGAGGAAUACCGAUGGCGAAGGCAGGUCUCUGGGCUAUAACUGACGCUCAUGCACGAA